AAUCAACGCUGGCGGCGUGCCUCAGACAUGCAAGUCGAACGAUUAAAGCUCUCUUCGGAGAGUGCAUAGAGUGGCGCACGGGUGAGUAACACGUAAGUAAUCUACCCUCGAGUGGGGAAUAACGUCCGGAAACGGACGCUAAUACCGCAUAAUGCAGCGGCACCGCAAGGUGACAGUUGUUAAAGAUUUAUCGCUUGAGGAGGAGCUUGCGGCAGAUUAGCUAGUUGGUAAGGUAAUGGCUUACCAAGGCUACGAUCUGUAACCGGUCUUAGAGGACGGUCGGUCACACUGACACUGAAUAACGGGUCAGACUCCUACGGGAGGCAGCAGUCGGGAAUUUUGGGCAAUGGGCGAAAGCCUGACCCAGCAACGCCGCGUGAAGGAUGAAGUAUUUCGGUAUGUAAACUUCGAAAGAAUAGGAAGAAUAAAUGACGGUACUAUUUAUAAGGUCCGGCUAACUACGUGCCAGCAGCCGCGGUAAGGAGCUGUCGU
rnacentral:rRNA from 1 species